rnacentral:misc_RNA from 1 species
GCUGACGACGUCUGCACUCACCCACAGACACGCUCAUUAGGCGCGGAUAGAGCCGAGUGCUGGUGGACGGGGCGUGUGCCAUCACAGCGCGACAUCCAUAGCGAAGCGGGAGAUAAGACGAGGUAAUACCGACUCAACGUACACCGUAGCUCCCCCUCCCCUGGGUACGCCAUGAAGCGGACAUGUCGCUCUCUGCGACGGAUUUCCGCAGCGCCGCUUGGCUUAGUGCAUUCGAUCUGUAGAAGCGCGGUGAUUUCUUCCUCUGCUUGCGCUGCCUCAUCGCUAAAUUCGGUCGCGCCGCGCACAGGAAGCUCGUCCUUCGCGCGUCAGGCCGCGAGAAUGGCACCGCCGCAGACAACUCUUUCACUGGACGCCAACCUGCGCAACACCCUCAGAAGUUUGCUCAUUGAGCGUCUGUGCAGUCCGACACAGCCCCUACCGGCAAAGCAGCUGUAUGAUGAGCUGACGAACCGCUCGCGUCUCGUGGAGGAGUUUCACUUCUCGAAGACGUCACGCCGCAUCACCCGCCAACGGCUCGCACUGCAGUUCUUGCGUCGAUACAACGUGCUGUUGCACGGCCUCCUCUUUUAUUCGGAGGGCACGCGCACGUGGAAUACGACGACGGAGUUUCAUCGUCUCGCCAUCCUUGGAGAGUCUGUCCUACUGACCGAGGUCCGCACUCGGCUGCUGAAGCUCUUCCCUGCCAUGCCGUAUGCGGCGUACGUGCAGAGUUUGCCUCACAUGGUCGGCGAGGAAGCGCUGGCGGCGGCUUUUGACCGGUAUGAGAUGCAGAACAUUGUCGGUGCCAAACCAUCUAACCGACGCAGUGGUACGCCGCUCACUCGAAUGCAGAAAAGCCAUAUGCUGUGCGCUAUUGUAGCGGAGAUGUACUGGUUUACAGCUCGGACGAAGCCCACCGACUUGACGCACAACAACGCGCUCUUCCCUCCAUCCGACGUGCUAAUCUUGCACGUGCUGUCCACCCACCUCCUCGAAAACUUGCCUGCAGAGCUCAUUUACAACGUCGUAGAGCCAAUCGUGGCGGACAUCAAGCGCGUGUGGGUGAACGAGCCGAUGUCGUUGCCGUCACAACUGCGCCUUACCCCGCGCACUGUAGGUGCCCUCUCUCUCAAUGCUGUCCCCGUCGAGCCCCGGUACACCGCCAAGGAAGACGCUGUCAUGUCGCUCCAGAAAAAGCACGCGGAGGCUCAUCGCCGACAAAACGCGCUUACCUGCGAGCCGGAUCACAGCUGCGUUAAGUCUUUCAUGCGACCGUUGUGCAACUACCGCAUAUUUGAAGGUCCACGGUAUCAGAUACUGAGCUCCGAUAAUCGCGUCGCCCCACUGCCGCUUGCACAAGAGCGGAGCAGUCUUCCAGCUUCGGCCGUGUGCACCGUCGUUGGCGAUGCGGAAAGCGCCGCACGUGCGAUGGAGCUUGCCAAGAUGGCGGAGCAGUGGUGACGUGUCUCGUUGCGCGAGUGGCAGCGGUGCCUUUUUGGUCACACACACACACACACACACACACACACGCCGCAUCUUUCAGGCCGUGCCGUCUCUACCUCUGUGCAUGCGUAUAUGUGCCGUACUGUUUCUACACUACAGU